rnacentral:rRNA from 1 species
GACGAACGCUGGCGGCGUGCCUAAUACAUGCAAGUAGAACGCUGAAGAGAGGAGCUUGCUCUUCUUGGAUGAGUUGCGAACGGGUGAGUAACGCGUAGGUAACCUGCCUCGUAGCGGGGGAUAACUAUUGGAAACGAUAGCUAAUACCGCAUAACAAUGGAUGACACAUGUCAUUUAUUUGAAAGGGGCAAUUGCUCCACUACAAGAUGGACCUGCGUUGUAUUAGCUAGUAGGUGAGGUAAUGGCUCACCUAGGCGACGGUACAUAGCCGACCUGAGAGGGUGAUCGGCCACACUGGGACUGAGACACGGCCCAGACUCCUACGGGAGGCAGCAGUAGGGAAUCUUCGGCAAUGGGGGCAACCCUGACCGAGCAACGCCGCGUGAGUGAAGAAGGUUUUCGGAUCGUAAAGCUCUGUUGUAAGUCAAGAACGGGUGUGAGAGUGGAAAGUUCACACUGUGACGGUAGCUUACCAGAAAGGGACGGCUAACUACGUG